AUGGAGAAGGGGAAUCCGGCGGAGGCCCCGGCGGCUCGUGACCCCAACGGGAAGGGGCGGGCAACAACGGCGUCCCAGGCGGAGACCACGGAGCCUCGCGUUCCCAGUAGGGCGGGGGAUUCCGUCGGGGGCCCGCUGGAUUGGGAAGAAAUCAAGGCCACAUCAAGGCGGAUUCUCCGGCGAUCUCCAAACCGGAAUAGGUGCUGGAAGUGGAUGAAGAGGAGGGCAGAGGAGAUGAUGCGCACGAAUCUAGCGAGGAUCCCUACUGAUCUGGCGGGGAGUGGGAAGGCCGGCGGCUACAACGACAACAAAUUGGAGACAUACCUCUUCGCAUAUAUGGAAACGUUGCAGCAAGUGGAUUCCAUGAAUGUCUUUGAUGAGUUCGCUCGACUUAUUUGGAGGAAUGGAACAAACAAUAUGGGAGAAAAUUGUAAUACAGAAAUGGCAUGGGUAGAACAAAUGUCAAUACGAUAUGGUCUAAGAUUUGGAAGUUAUCUUGUCCAGCAAAGGUGA
rnacentral:rRNA from 1 species